rnacentral:lncRNA from 1 species
GAUUAAUUAAAAAAUAUAGAAGUUAAAUUAAAUUAAAUUAAGAAAUAUAUUGGGAUCCACAUUAUUUUAUGUGGAUUUGUGGUCUUUUUAUAAUUUUAUUUGUGAAUUUGUGGUGAUGCUAGACUUGAAUUUAUGUUAUUCUUGAUGUUUGAUUUGUAUUGUUGUAUUUUUAUUUGUGACUUUAUGGUGUUGUAUGUUAUUCUUGGUAUUAAAUUGUUGAUUGUAGAAUUAUGAUUGGAUUUUAUUUAAUAUUAUUAGGUAAACUGUUGAAUUUUAAUUUUUGCGGAUCCGAAAUGUCUGCCCGCAAUCCGUGCGGAUUUUACCCGCAUCCGGAUGCAAGAAUAUCAAUUCGGAUUUGGAUCCAGAUUUUACCAUCCCUUACUCAUGCCUUUUUGCUAAUUACUAUGACAAAAUUACAUGGAAAAAUGACGAGAAGGAUAAGCUGGUAAAUUCAUGCCACUGAAUUGAAUAUUAAGGGAAUCACAACCUUACGUAAUGGGUUAAGUUCAUUUAACUUUAAAUUUUAAUUUUUCAUUUAUUGAUAAUCUAAUUCAAUGACAUAUGGAUGAGGAAUUAUUGUUUUAUUCUUUUUGAAAAUGUGGAAGGUGGAUAAUAAAGAGUACAUUAAUGUGUUUCUCUAUCUUCUUUAAAAUUUAAACUCAGAUAUCCAAACAAAGAACACUAAUUGAAACCCACCUGAUUAAAAUUUUGUAAGUUAGAGGAUGAAGACAUAAGAGCUAACUUUUAACUUGAAAAUUCACACCAUUUAAUUCAAUAGAUCGAACAAAUGAAGUUUAAGUUAUUAAUUUAAGUCGGAUUUUAAGUCUAGGGAGUCCCCCUAUUGCUUUGGUUGGGCUUUUACGGUCGAAGUAAUGGUUGAAUUCUAGAGUAGAGCUACUACCUACUGGCACCCCAUUUGGCAUUUGCAAUCUUAAUUAACCCCCUAAAUUAUUUAUUCUAAAUUACAAUUAUUUCAUCGGAAUUACCAAACGACAAAUGAUCUUCUCUCGCGUCCUCUCUUACACUCUAUUGCAUUUUAAGCCCUUGUUUAUUUACUUGUACAACUUAAAAUUUUUGUUUGUUUUUUAUUUAUUUGACAAAUAUAUAUUAAUCUCUUGGAAUCAUAGUGAAAAAAAUCAUAGAACCAAGAGGAUCCAUCGCAGAAAAAAAUUAAUUUCAUCAUUUUUCUUAAUGUUAGCCGGAAUCUGGUUUUGAAAAAAAAAAUUGAUUAAUAUCUACAAUUCAUAGAAAAAUGUCAGAUAUAAAUAUUAUUGUGAUGGUUCUACAAGCGUUUUAGAUAUGAUUUU